AAAUACUCACCAAAAGAGAUGAGAAUAUUAAUAAAAAAUUAAUCAUUUUAAAAUUGUUUUUUAUUUCAAAUUUGUUUCAGUUAGUUUUUUUAUUUUAAUUUAUUUUUUUUUUUUUUUUUUUUAUUUAUUUUUUUU
rnacentral:ribozyme from 15 species